GGAUGGAUCAUGUAACAAAACGCGUGCGCAAACGCACCGGCGACGAUAGUGCUGUGACUGUGCCCGAUUUAACGAUUGUGGCAUGGGCAGAGCGUUAUGGUCGCCUAUCGCGUCGCGCAUACAAACACCCACUCGUACGUGGUUUCUGUUCAUGGGCGUUGUCGCCGCGCCACCGCGGCGCGUGCGAUGGUUCCCAUGCUUUAUAUACUCUAUUGAAACUCCAUGUUCUCAUUACUCUGAAUCACUAAAAAAAGAACCAAAAACAACUUUCAACAACGGAUGUCUUGGUUCCCGCAUCGAUGAAGAACGCCGCGAAAUGCGAUACUUAAUGUGAAACGCAACGCAGUGUGAAUCAUCAAGGUUUCGAACGCACAUUGCGCUGUUAGGGUCUUCCCUGACAGCAUGCCUGUUUGAGCAUCGUUUCAAACCCUCAACACACCUCCCCUCGCGGUGGUGCGUUGGACGCUGAGCGCCCCACCCUCUUCGCAAGAAGUCGGGGUGGGCCGCUUGAAAUGGAGAUCCCUUUCUGGACGCCGCGCCGCAACGCGCCGUCGCCGCCGGCUCUUCGGAGCCGCGACGGCGGCGCGUAGCGUGACUGUGCCGCGCCUCCUGUGCUGUGACGAAUCGCGUGCCUCGUGCGCGUGUUUUCCCUCGACACUCGAGUGCCCGUGCGCUGGUCUCUUUGUGCAGCUUCACCGACUAAAACCCAAAGGAAAGGACCGAGACCACACGACUAACGUCGCAGAGGCGCUCGCCGCCGCUGCUGCGUCUAUACUCGCGAUCUCAAAUCAGGCAAGACCACCCGCUGAACUUAAGCAUAUCAAUAAGCGGAGGAAAAGAAACUAACCAGGAAGCCCUUAGUAACUGCGAGUGAAGCGGGCAAAGCUCAAAUUUCAAAUCUGCGUCUCGUAACGGGGGCGUCGAAUUGUAGUUUAUAGGGGCGUUCAAGGUGGUGCGCCGGACAUAAGUGUUCAGGAACGGACCGUCAGAGAGGGUGACAACCCCGUCUGUGGCCCGGCGUUGCACUGCCGAAACGAAGUGAACGUUUCCUACGAGUCGGGUUGUUUGGGAAUACAGCCUUAAUUGGGUGGUAGAUGCCAUCUAAAGCUAACUUAUCUGCGGGAGACCGAUAGCGAACAAGUAGCGUGAGCGAAAGAUGAAAAGCACUUUGGAAAGAGAGGCAACAGGACCUGAAAUUGUUGAAAGGGAAGGGAUUGAAAUCAGAAGUUACCCAGCGGAGAUUCGUUUGUUCGCGCAGGUGCCCCGUGGCGUGGCCGAGCCCCAAAGCCGGUGCGUUACGGGUCGUUGUCUGCGCGGAUGGGUUAUUUCUUCGUUGGGUAGGCCAAUAUCAGUUUGUGACGCGGAACAAUACCGGUGGGAAGGUAGGGCAGGAGCCGCGUACGCGGCCCUUCCUGUUAUAGCCCGCCGGGGAUUCCGCGCCGCAGACUGAGGAAAGCCCUUGCGGUGCGCCAUGCACGCGCCUCGGCGAGACCCCUUAUGGGAAGCCUGUCAAAGGGCUAUGCCCGGUGGGAGGGUCGUCGGCGUGCACAGGAUAUUGGCGAAUUGGUUUCCAUCCACCCGUCUUGAAACACGGACCAAGGAGUCCACCGUCUACGCGAGUAUUUGGGUGGCAAACCCGAGUGCGCAAUGAAAGUGAAGGCGUCAGUGGGCGCUGAGAUGGGACGGCCGCCGCGAAGGCGGCCCGCACCACCGGCCGAUCUGGAUUCCUCGCGAUGAAAGGUUUGAGCAAGAGCGUAGCCGAUGGGACCCGAAAGAUGGUGAACUUUGCCUGGGUAGGUUGAAGUCAGUGGAAACACUGAUGGAGGACCGUAGAGAUACUGACGUGCAAAUCGUUCUUCAGACCUGGGUAAAGGGGCGAAAGACUAAUCGAACCAUCUAGUAGCUGGUUCCCUC
rnacentral:misc_RNA from 1 species